UACGUAGGAGGCGAGCGUUGUCCGGAGUUACUGGGCGUAAAGGGUGCGCAGGCGGCCGAUCGCGGUUUGCGGUGAAACGCUCCCGGCUUACCUGGGAGAGGGCCGUGAAGACGGGUGCUUGAGGCUCGGAGAGGGACGUGGAAUUCCGGGUGGAGCGGUGAAAUUCGUAGAUAUUCGCAAGAACACCAGUGGCGAAGGCGGCUCACUGGCCCGGUACGUGACGCUGAGGUGCGAAAGCGUGGGAGC
rnacentral:rRNA from 1 species